UGGGGAAUAUUGGACAAUGGGGGCAACCCUGAUCCAGCCAUGCCGCGUGAGUGAAGAAGGCCUUCGGGUUGUAAAGCUCUUUCGGCGGGGACGAAACGGUCCGUGACAACACCACGGACUAAUGACAGUACUCGCAGAAGAAGCACCGGCUAACUACGUGCCAGCAGCCGCGGUAAUACGUAGGGUGCAGGCGUUAAUCGGAAUUACUGGGCGUAAAGCGUGCGCAGGCGGCUCCUUAAGUCAGAUGUGAAAUCCCCGGGCUUAACCUGGGAACUGCGUUUGAAACUGAGGGGCUAGAGUGUGGAAGAGGGGGGUGGAAUUCCAGGUGUAGCAGUGAAAUGCGUAGAGAUCUGGAGGAACACCGAUGGCGAAGGCAGCCCCCUGGGCUAACACUGACGCUCAUGCACGAAAGCGUGGGGAGCAAACAGGAUUAGAUACCCCCGUAGUCCCUGAGCGGGCUGGCAAGGCGCAU
rnacentral:rRNA from 1 species